rnacentral:misc_RNA from 1 species
ACUACUUCUUGCUAUGAUCAUAAUUUUUUUUGAAUUUUUAAUAUUUUUCUGCUAUUUUCUUAUUUGCUGCAACAGGGAAUUGAUUGCUUUUAGCUGAAGAAUUGAGUUUUACUAUUUUUGUGUGCAUGAGACUACUGCAGGAACAGGGAAGAAUCAAGUGAUGAGGUCUUCUCUUUUCAGGGUUCUGGCCAAUGAGGAAUUCAAGAUUUUAGUGGCUUAGAUCACACCCACUACAGGAUAGAUUUACUGUACCUUUUUCAC